GCAAGUCGAACGAGACCUCAGAGCUUGCUCUGAGUGACAGUUGCAGACGGGUGAGUAACGCGUGGCAACCUACCCUUCGGUGGGGGACAACAGUUGGAAACGACUGCUAAUACCCCAUACGUCCUCCGGGAGAAAGAUUCAUCGCCGAUGGAUGGGGCCGCGUUAGAUUAGCUUGUUGGUGGGGUAAAGGCCUACCAAGGCAACGAUCUAUAGCUGGUCUGAGAGGAUGAUC
rnacentral:rRNA from 1 species